UACGGAGGGUGCAAGCGUUAUCCGGAUUUACUGGGUUUAAAGGGUGCGUAGGUGGACAUUUAAGUCAGCGGUGAAGUCUCCGGGCUUAACUCGGAAAUUGCCAUUGAUACUAUUUGUCUUGAAUUAUCUGGAGGUGAGCGGAAUAUGUCAUGUAGCGGUGAAAUGCUUAGAUAUGACAUAGAACACCAAUUGCGAAGGCAGCUCACUACGGAUAUAUUGACACUGAGGCACGAAAGCGUGGGGAUCAAACAGG
rnacentral:rRNA from 1 species